AUUUACAAUUUAUUUAUAAAAUUCAGAUCAUAAUUCAACUUUUUAAUAUUAAUAAUAUUAUUAAAUUUAAUUAAUCUACCACCUCUAUCUCAACCCCUGCCCACCCUCCCUCCCCACAAAACCUAAUCAUUUAAAAAUACUAUCCAUCAUCCCUGUUGCUGCUUCAUUUCUCCCACAAAUGACUUUUCACGGUGCAACCACUUCGACAAAUCUUCAAGGGAUAGCAGUGAUGCUCUUUCAUGUGCAAUACCUUUUCUUUGUAUUCAUAGUCACUGUGCGCUAGGCGCCCCGCCGUUGCUUCAUGCCUCUGGCGUUCCUCCAUGUGUAGUAGUACAAUGUCGCCAUGAGCAGUUUAGGGUGGUUGUGAUCAUCGCUGGGUGAAGCAGGCAACGGCAAUUGUGAGGUGCCGUGGUGGUUUUGCAUAAGUUCAGAUAAUUACGCUGUGGUGUAACUGCGAUGCCGUGGUGGUGUGAUGUGCAAUGUAGAUGAGGUUUUGUAUGCAAUUACAGGGAAAUGCAUAGCAGAACUGGAAGGAUAUCGAGUAUACUCUCCUCCCUGUCACACACACAUACAUGUGCACAUAUAUCACUUGAAUUUAGUUUCUAAGUGUGCUUUUAAGUGAUCAACUUCCCCAUAUAUGCAAUAAGAAACUCCAUAUUCGCAACAACUAGAAAUUGCAUUGAUGAUAGUGCAAAAGUUUUCCGCUAUAAAUUGUAUGCUUGUAUGAUACCUUCUGGAAAGUGUUGACCUCAAAUCUUAUGCUCUUGACAUGGCCAACAAAUCACAAGGCCUUUCACAUCCACACAAGUCUAAUUCAUGUACACUUGGACAAACCGUUAGCCACAUGUAGUUUCCUCUGGUAGGGUUGGCAUUGGCCGCGCACACUCUGAAGGUCAAGUCACUGAUGAAAUAAUGUAACGAAGUUAUGGUUCAAGAUUAUAAACUUGCAUUACCUUAAAGUGGUACUAGAUGUAAACUUUUUAUAGUAAAAAAAGAUAAAUAAGAGUCAUUGGAUAAAGAGGCACGUGACCUCAUCCGUGCAGCUAGUGCCUCUUAUCAGAGACGUCAAUCAAUCAUAAGUAUUAAAUGCUAUGCCAUUUUAUUGUCCAUAAUUCAUAGCUUGCAGCUUUAGACUUGACCUAUUUGGUUGGAAACGGUGACUGUAGCAGUGAAAUAUCACAUCAAUCACAUACCAAGGCUUGCUUGAAAGAUCUCGUGUCAAGCAUGUUGAUGCAAUUGAAGCCUAUUGUGAGGUUGAAUAAAGAAAAGGCGAGGGCCUUGUAAAGAAGGCGAACCUAUUGAUGUAGUUGAAGCACGUAGUGAGGCUGAAUAAAGCAAAAGCGAGGUCCUUGCCAAGAGGGCGAGCCUAUUGAUGUAGUUGAAACCUAUUAUAAGGCUGAAUAAGCGAAGGCGAGGCCCUUAAAAAGAAGGCGAGUACCUUACAAAGAAGGCGAGUCUGAUGAUGUAGUUGAAGCCUGUAGUAUGACUGAAUAAAGUGAAAGUGAGGUCCUUGCUCAAUUGGAAUUGGAUGAGCUCUGUUGGGGCUAGAUAAGAUGCUUUCAUUUUUUACACCAAAGGAGGAACAAUAUAAGGAUUAGAAUGCCCUAUCACAGAUACAUCUUCAUCUUACAAAUUAAAUUCUUCAAGACGUGGUAAAGAUGAAUAAUAUUUCUCAUUAUGAUUUAAGUUGGAGCAAUUAUGCAUGACUUGGAGUCUAACCAGCAAAAUGAAUCUAAAGUAGUAAGGAAAUCGUCUCUAAUUUGGAGACCAUGGAAGUCAAGUACGAUGAAGAGGACUUAGUGUUGAUUUUGCUAUGUUCAUUGUCGGCUUCAUAUAUGACAUUCAGGAUGCCAUCUUUUGUAUAGUCGAGAUACAUUCACCAUUGACAAGGUUUAUGACGCAUAGAACAUAAAACAGCUGAUCGUCAGAUCAAAGGCCCAGGGCAGAGGGUUUUAUUGUUCAUGAUAGGGAAUUGGGUGGUGAUGGAAUGGAGAUGUCUAUGGCUAAUGAUGUGAUAUAGUCUGUUAUUUUUAUAAGAAGAAAAGACUACCCAAAGUGGCAGAAAAUGAAUAAAAUCGUUGUACAGAUCAGAAGGGAUAACCUGGUAAUUUCGGUGAAACUAGCAUUGUAUAAGAUGACUACUAUGAUGGAGAUCUCUUGGGUAUUUUUGAUAGUGACUCCAAAUCUGACGAUGAUAAAAUUCUUGAUAUGGCUUGCACUUUUCAUAUGUGUCCAAACAUGUAUUGGUUUGGAGCAUAUGAAAAUGUUACAAGGGGUACUAUGGUAAUAGAAAAUAAUUUACCUUAUAAGAUAGCUGGUAUUGUCGAUGUCAGGAUUAAGAUGUUUGAUGGGAAGGUCGGAACACUUGGUAAUGUGAGACAUGUCUUGAAGAGAAACAUUAUCUUCUUGAGUGCUCUUGAUUCAAAUGGAUAAAGGUAUAUCAGUGAAGAUAAAGUUCUGAAAGUUAGUAAGGGUGCCAGAGUCAUGAUAAAGUAACAGAAGAAGUCUUGAUUAUAUGUCUUACAGGUUUCCAUGAACACGGUUGAUGAAGCUAUCAUCGAAGGAGAUGUUAGACCUUAGGAGAGGUACGAUGAGGCUGAUAUGGUUGCCUGUGGUCUAAUGACCGUUGGCUCAGAUGGAGCUAGUAGUGAUCGGGUUGUUCGUGGGGGUAAUUCGAGCAUGUUUGUUAACUCGGGUGGAGUUGGUAGUUAAAGGGAUCACUUAAGCCGGUUUGGGGCCCGAGGUAGUUUUGCUGGUAAGCAGAGCUUGGAUUUUUGUUCACAGUUGUUGAUUAUGGGAUGGGUUAAUUGAUAAAAUGAACAAAGUCUUCUUGACUUGGAAGCUCGAUUUAAAAAUUAUCAAAAUUUACCAGGAUUGAAAUUUGAUUAGAAAAUGACUUUGGAAUGGAUAAAAAAAAGCCUUAAAGCAUUUUUGGGACAGGGAGAUGGUGCCUAAGUCAAGGUGCCUAGGCAUCCCCAAAAAGUGAAGACAGGUAGGGAAUCAACACCUAAGCAUCGACCAGCACCACUAGUUCAAACAGAAUCUGUUUUCUAUGGAUUCUUGUAUUCUACUUCAUUCAAAGCACUUGUAAUGAGUUACUAUACAUAUUCCACGUGAUAUAGCCUUGAGAUAUGAUAGUAAGACAUUGUAUAGCAUUGAGAAAACAUCAAAGUAAGAGGAUUUAGGUUAUAAAAAGAGAGGCUUGCAUAUUUCAGGAUAGGUUGAGAGUCUUGAAAGAUCUUUUUAUACUUCUUUACUAUUGAUCAUAGUGAAUUCUCCAUAUUUAUCUGUGGUUUUCCCAUACUUUGGUUCACAUAAAUCUUGUGUUCUUGUGGGAUUCAUUAUUUUCAUCUUGCUUAUAUUUCUUAUCUUUAAUAUUCAUAACAAGUGGUAUAAGUUCUAUCACCCGGUCAUUGCAAAUUGCCUAAAUCUAUAAUGGUACAACUUGAUUCUUUGUUCAUUAGGAAUUGAAGAUGGGAGAACGAGUAGACAUCGAACAAUUUAAGGCCCAAGAAGCAAGAAGUGGAUUAAGAAUAGAAUGAAUGUCCAAUAGGAAUCCAGUUCAUCUUCAUCAUCAUUUACAUAUUAAUGAGGUGUCAGAAAGAAAGUGGGGGAUACACACACACAACACCAAUCUACUAAGCACUGUGCUUAGCCUAUGCUAAGCAUCGUGCUUUGUUGGCAGUUCAUUGAAUAUGGAAAUAUUUAUUUUAAUAUAUUAAUGAAAUAAAAAAAAUCAAUAAAUCAACAUAAAAUGGAAACAUAGAUAAAUAUGGUAACCAAAAAGUGGAAGAAUAAUUUCUGCUUUUCAUCUCUUCACGACGUCCUCUCGUCUCCCCUCUCUCUUGCCUAAAUUACUCUGGAAUUUGGCUUCAAAAAAAGUGCAGAAUAAUUUCAUGUUUGUUGCACGAUAGUGGAUUGCGAUGGUCUUCAUCUCAUCUUUCAAGGGUAAGUUAUUAUUUUGAUUUUGAUUUUGAUUUUGGGUGUGUACAUUAAAAAUUGGUACAAUGUUCCUUUUUCCCCCCCACAUAAAAGCUGUUACCAUAUUUAUAUAAAUAUCAAUUUGUGUAUGAAAGAGAAAAACUUUUCCAUGGGUUUUUACGAAUUAUUUUCAAAUGUAGUUUUAUUGGAAAUUGCAGAAAGUCGAUAGAAUUUAUUGGGCUGUACUUUAAAAUGUAGUCAUUGCAGAACUUUGCAUAUGAUAGGUAUUUGCUAGAAUUUAAAAUGUAGUUUAAUAUGUUUAAUUUAUUGGACAGUUUGCAUGGCUGAUUAUAUUGGAUAGAUAGUCUAAAUUAAUAAUAUUUUUUUUCUGAAAAGUGUCAAUCAAGAUUUUCUUAUAUAUCCACUGUUUUAAACAUAUGAACAGUAAUUUAAAUUGUCAUUACUUUUUAGGUUAAACUUAAUUUUCAUAGACGAUGAGACUUCAAUUCAAACAUUCACAUCCAAGUUGCGGACCAACGAAAGCCUAAAGUUGGGCAUGAGUUUGAAACAAUUGAAGGUGUAUAUGAGUUUUAUAACACAUAUUGUUACAUCUCACUCAUUAUAGUCAAAGUAAAAAAUUCUAUUGGUCAAAGUCAAAGUUGAACGAGGACUUAAAUUAAGUAAAAUAAUUUUAUGUGGUCUAAUUUGUAACUACUCAUACUUAAAUGGUCAGAAAUAAUAUCAAAUAAAAAUUUAGAGAUUCAAUGUUUUAUUAUUAUAAUUAAAAGACUAAAUGUUACCUUAUGUGAAGUUUGGUACUUGACUAGUAAUUAUACAAUAAUUAUCCACUUAAAGGAUAAGUAAUCCAUUUUCUUGUUUUGGAAAGAACUAGAAGCUGAGAAAGGAAGCAAAAGAGAGAAAACCGGUGGAAGAAAAAGGAGAAAAGAGAAAAAGAGAGAAAGAAAAAAGGAAGAAAAGAAGGAGGUGCCGGCCGACUAUGUGUAGGAGGUGGGAUACACUUCUUCAAGUAUUGGGAUCCUCAUUUCUUCUGAAAUCUCAAGUGGUUAAGUUUUACACAAACAUAAAUUUCUUAUUUUGGUUCAAUAAGUGGAAAUAAGUCCAAUUUCUUGAUGUUUUGGUGUGAAUAGCUAUUUUUGGAAGCUUUUUAAUUAUGUGAAUCAAAUUUAUACUAACUUUUGGGUUUGAGCUUUGUGGGUGAAAACAUUCAGCAAGUAAUUGGGUGUAAGAUUCAAAGUUGAAUAAAGGAACCAAUUCAAGUGAGGAAUGGUGCAAGCUAACUAUGGCUUUUGUAUGUACACAAUGGUUGAAAUUAUUGAAGUGGGACUUACCUAAUUACAUAGUUUUAUGCAAGUGUGGGAAGUAGUAAAAUGAUGAAAGGAAGGAGAUUAUAUAAAGUUGGUACAACUAUGUGCAUAUUAAUUAUAUUAAUUGGAAUUGUGUAGUUGGAAGUAAAGUACGACUACAUGAUUUGAGGUUUAAUUUAUCUAUUAAUUAAGAAAUUUUAGGCUAUUUUCCAGCAAGGAAAUGCACUGGUGCUACUUUUGAAAUUCUAUCCAGAAAGUGUUGUUUUUGUCAAAUAUUUUAGAGGCAGUUUUCCAUAAACAGGAAAUGGUGCCAGAUUUCUAUAUUUUGGAAAAUAUAGUGCUAAUAUUGAUAAUCUUUCAACUUUCUUGUAUUUUUUAGUAUGAAAACCAAAUUAAGUAUUAAAUAUUUGGGAUUAGAUGUUAAAAUAACUUAUAUAAAGGUGAAUAUGUUAUUAGUGAACCUAAUUGGGAUUAUGGGAUUGCAUUGAAAAUAAAAGACUUCAAGUUCUUAUUAGUAAAUUAUUACUUCUAAUGGUAGGAAAUAUGUUUAAAGCACCUUAGUGAUGAGAUAUGAUUUCUUGGGACGAAUGCGGAAUGUCAUACUUGAUAUUUGAAGUUGAAGCGGUGACAAGAAGAUUGAAACCAUAAAUGACCAUGACUUGAUGGUCCCUGCAUUUGUUAAGCAUAUUUUUGCAGCUGGAAUGUCGAGCAGCCAAAGAACUGAAAGUUCUCAUUCAUUUCUCAAAAGGUACAUUUCGAAGGAAAACUCAUUGAUGGAUUUAAUUAUACGCUUUAACAUAUCACUUAGACAUCAAAGACAUCAAGAGUUGAUGAUUAAUCAUUAAUGAAAAACCAAAAUUGAAAUCCUUGUGGCCAAUGGAGGUGCAAAUGUUGAAGGUUUAUACAAGAAAAGUUUUUCAAACUUUUCAAGAUGAGAUUUUUGAAAGUCAAGCUUACAUUUAAAAUACAUUAUGUGAAGAUGAAUCAAGUGUGACUUAUAUUCUUGAAGGGGUUGAUAAAUCUUUUACAUCAAGAUCUCGAAAACUUAUUCACAAUAAGUUUUUAGAUAUUGUACACUGUAGUUGUCAAAAACUUGAAUGUGAAGGAAUUUCAUGCAGACAUAUGUUGGUGUACUUUAGGGUCAAACAAAUAUUGCAAUUGCCAACUCAAUAUAUUCUUCAAAGGUGGACCAAAAGUGCAAAGAUUGGUAAAGUGUGGGACAAAGAUAAUGAGGAACUAAAUGAAAUUCCAAACCCAUCAUUGAUGUUAAGACAUUCUAAACUAUCUCAAUUUCUUCUAUUGUGGUUGAUGAUGCAUCUCUCACUGAGGAAAGAGCUAACCUCUUGGUAAAUGCGUUGGAAGAGCUCCACAGAAAAAUAUAGGAGAUUAACAUCGGCAAUGGUAUUGAACAUGUAUCCAUCGGACAAACAAGUUUUGAAGAGCGUGUAAAUAUCAAUGAACCACAACAAGUAAGAGCAAAGAGGUGCAGAAAAAGAUUAAAAAAGUCAAAAGAGACAACAAUGAGUAAAGAGAGAGUUUGUCAUGGAUAUGGGCUUCGGGGCCAAUCACACGAUAAGAGAAAUUGGCCAAAAUUACUCGAAAGAUCCUUUGGGUCCAAAUGACGAAGUUCCCUACAAUUUCAUUUUACAAAAUUCAUGUCUAUACCCGCAAUGUUGAAAAAUUAUAAAUUCUGUUUUGGGGUGUGGCUUGAAGCAUUGAGAAUCCUAGACGAACAAGUUCUCAUCAACAAUCCAUCUGAGAGUUACAAGGUGUUCUGACCAAUCUUUGUAGCCAUUUCUCACAUGAAGGCUAUGAGAAGUUUACAGCUUGAAUUUAUUCUAUUUUAAGCAAUUUAAGACUGUAGGUUUAUUUUGUAAUUCUGCUUUUUUUAAUGUGUGAAACAGUGAAUAGAAUCAUGUCUGGUCGGCAUUUGUGCUCUAAAUGUUCAUUCAAAUGUCUUGAUUCACCAUUUUAUACCUCUUUUGCGAGUAGAACAAUGUGUUACGAUGCUAAAUCAAAUUGAAUGAUGACAAGCCAUUUUCAUUCUCUAA